AGUAAUGUCUGGGAAACUGCCUGAUGGAGGGGGAUAACUGCUGGAAACGGUAGCUAAUACCGCAUAACGUCGCAAGACCAAAGAGGGGGACCUUCGGGCCUCUUGCCAUCGGAUGUGCCCAGAUGGGAUUAGCUAGUAGGUGGGGUAACGGCUCACCUAGGCGACGAUCCCUAGCUGGUCUGAGAGGAUGACCAGCCACACUGGAACUGAGACACAGUCCAG
rnacentral:rRNA from 1 species